AUUGUAAUACUGCCCCAGCGUGCCUGGUCGUCAUAGCGGCGCCGAAGCAACUCCCGUGAUCUAGCGCAACACCCACACAGAACGUAGAAGGUGCGUU